ACUCCUGCGGGAGGCAGCAGUGGGGAAUAUUGCACAAUGGGCGCAAGCCUGAUGCAGCCAUGCCGCGUGUGUGAAGAAGGCCUUCGGGUUGUAAAGCACUUUCAGCGGGGAGGAAGGCGAUACGGUUAAUAACCGUGUUGAUUGACGUUACCCGCAGAAGAAGCACCGGCUAACUCCGUGCCAGCAGCCGCGGUAAUACGGAGGGUGCAAGCGUUAAUCGGAAUUACUGGGCGUAAAGCGCACGCAGGCGGUCUGUCAAGUCGGAUGUGAAAUCCCCGGGCUCAACCUGGGAACUGCAUUCGAAACUGGCAGGCUUGAGUCUUGUAGAGGGGGGUAGAAUUCCAGGUGUAGCGGUGAAAUGCGUAGAGAUCUGGAGGAAUACCGGUGGCGAAGGCGGCCCCCUGGACAAAGACUGACGCUCAGGUGCGAAAGCGUGGGGAGCAAACAGGAUUAGAAACCCGUGUAGUCCCAUGAU
rnacentral:rRNA from 1 species